AGGAGGAACAGCCCCAGUGGCGGGGCAGCUCUGGAAACCUCGAUUCAGCUCCGGCAGGAACUCCGUCUGCAGGGCCUGGAGGCUCCGGGGCGGG
rnacentral:pre_miRNA from 1 species